rnacentral:rRNA from 1 species
UACGUAGGCAGCGAGCGUUGUUCGGAAUUACUGGGCGUAAAGAGUGUGUAGGCGGUGCUCUAAGUCUGUCGUGAAAUCUCCCGGCUUAACUGGGAGGGUGCGGCGGAAACUGGUGUGCUCGAGGGUGGGAGAGGUAAGCGGAAUUCCUGGUGUAGCGGUGAAAUGCGUAGAUAUCAGGAGGAACACCUGCGGUGUAGACGGCUUUCUGGACCAUUGCUGACGCUGAGACACGAAAGCGUGGGUAGCAAACAGG